UACGGGGGGGGCAAGCGUUGUUCGGAAUUACUGGGCGUAAAGGGCUCGUAGGCGGCCAACUAAGUCAGACGUGAAAUCCCUCGGCUUAACCGGGGAACUGCGUCUGAUACUGGAUGGCUUGAGUUUGGGAGAGGGAUGCGGAAUUCCAGGUGUAGCGGUGAAAUGCGUAGAUAUCGGGAGGAACACCGGUGGCGAAGGCGGUUCUCUGGGCCUGUACUGACGCUGAGGAGCGAAAGCGUGGGGAGCGAACAGG
rnacentral:rRNA from 1 species